rnacentral:rRNA from 1 species
GGAGUAUCGACCCUCUCUGUGCCGAAGCUAACGCUUUAAGUAUCCCGCCUGGGGACUACGGCCGCAAGGCUAAAACCUAAAGGAAUUGACGGGUCCCCGCACAAGCAGCGGAGCGUGUGGUUUAAUUCGAUGCAACACGAAGAACCUUACCAGGGCUUGACAUGGUAGAAGUAGUGAACCGAAAGGGGAACGACCUGUUAAGUCAGGAGCUAUCACAGGUGCUGCAUGGCUGUCGUCAGCUCGCGCCGUGAGGUGUCGGGUUAAGUCCCAUAACGAGCGCAACCCUUGUCGUCAGUUAAUUUCUCUGGCGAGACUGCCCCGCAAAACGGGGAGGAAGGCGGGGAUGAUGUCAAGUCAGUAUGGCCUUUAUGCCCUGGGCUACACACACGCUACAAUGGGUGGUACAGUAGGUUGCAAUGGGGCGAUCCGGAGCUAAUCCUUUAAAACCAUCCUCAGUUCGGAUUGCAGGCUGCAAUUCGCCUGCAUGAAGCCGGAGUUGCUAGUAGCCGCAUAUCAGCAUGGUGCGGUGAAUACGUUCUCGGGGAUUGUACACACCGCCCGUCACGUCAUGAAAGUCGGCAACACCUGAAGUCGAUGAGCCAACCUCAUUUAUGGGGAGGCAGUUGCCCAGGGUGGGGUCGGUGAUUGGGACGAAGUCGUAACAAGGUAGCCG